GCCUGGGUGGCUCAGUCGGUUAAGCGUUUGACUUUGGACUUUGGCUCAAGUCAUGACUUCAUGGUUCGUGAGUUCAAGUCCCACGUCAGGCU
rnacentral:tRNA from 1 species